rfam:Apaloderma vittatum contig77038, whole genome shotgun sequence.
GGCCAGUUAGCUCAGCGGUUUGAGCACGGUGCUGACAACAAUGACAACAUCGAGGCCGCGGGUUCAAUUCCUGCUCAGUCCC